rnacentral:rRNA from 1 species
UACCAUCACCCCGAGUGGUCGGGACGAUUAUUGGGCCUAAAGCAUCCGUAGCCGGUUCUACAAGUCUUCCGUUAAAUCCACCUGCUUAACAGAUGGGCUGCGGAGGAUACUAUAGAGCUAGGAGGCGGGAGAGGCAAGCGGUACUUAGUGGGUAGGGGUAAAAUCCGUUGAUCCAUUGAAGACCACCAGUGGCGAAGGCGGCUUGCCAGAACGCGCUCGACGGUGAGGGAUGAAAGCUGGGGGAGCAAACCGG